rnacentral:lncRNA from 10 species
AGGGCCAUCACGGCUGCCGCCGCCCCCGCCCCCGCCGCUACCUCAGAACUGAACAGUGUUGGCUGCGGGCGAAAGACAGUGGGGCCCGGAAGACUGCGGGGAGAGGGGGAGGAGGGGACGGAGAGGGAAGAAGACAGUGGGGAGAAAGUGCAGGGAGAAGACAGUGUGGUAGAGAAGACAGUGGAGGAAAACGGCUGAUGCGGGCGGAUCACAAGCUGGGCGUGAUGGCGAGCGCCUGUAAUCCAGCUACUCCAGCGCCUGCACUCCAGCCUGGAUGACAGGGAAGGUCGUGGGAACAUACAGAGACCUACAGGGAAGACGGCCAUGGGACAAGGGAGGCAGAGUCUGGAGUUACGCUGCCUAC